rnacentral:rRNA from 1 species
AACGAACGCUGGCGGCAGGCCUAACACAUGCAAGUCGAGCGCCCCGCAAGGGGAGCGGCGGACGGGUGAGUAACGCGUGGGAACGUGCCCUUUGCUACGGAAUAGCCCCGGGGAACUGGGAGUAAUACCGUAUAAGCCCUACGGGGGAAAGAUUUAUCGGCAAAGGAUCGGCCCGCGUUGGAUUAGGUAGUUGGUGGGGUAAUGGCCUACCAAGCCGACGAUCCAUAGCUGGUCUGAGAGGAUGAUCAGCCACACUGGGACUGAGACACGGCCCAGACUCCUACGGGAGGCAGCAGUUGGGGAAUCUUAGACAAUGGGCGCAAGCCUGAUCUAGCCAUGCCGCGUGAGCGAUGAAGGCCUUAGGGUUGUAAAGCUCUUUCGUGGGGGAAGAUAAUGACUGUACCCCAAGAAGAAGCCCCGGCUAACUCCGUGCCAGCAGCCGCCGUAAAAC